rnacentral:rRNA from 1 species
CGGACGGGUGAGUAAUGUCUGGGAAACUGCCUGAUGGAGGGGGAUAACUACUGGAAACGGUAGCUAAUACCGCAUAACGUCGCAAGACCAAAGAGGGGGACCUUCGGGCCUCUUGUCAUCGGAUGUGCCCAGAUGGGAUUAGCUAGUAGGUGGGGUAACGGCUCACCUAGGCGACGAUCCCUAGCUGGUCUGAGAGGAUGACCAGCCACACUGGAACUGAGACACGGUCCAG